AUUGAACGCUGGCGGAAUGCCUAACACAUGCAAGUCGAGCGGGGGGAGCAAUACUUCAGCGGCGGACGGGUGAGGAACACAUAGGAAUCUGCCUUUAGGUGGGGGAUAGCCAGGGGAAACUCUGGGUAAUACCGCAUGAUCGCGAGAGAGACAAGGGGCGCAAGUCUCGCAUUUAGAGGAGCCUAUGUCUGAUUAGCUAGUUGGCGGUGUAAUGGACCACCAAGGCGAUGAUCAGUAACUGGUCUGAGAGGACGAUCAGUCACACCGGAACUCAGACCCGGUCCGGCAUCCUACGGGGGGCAGCAGUGGGGAAUAUUGGACAAUGGGCGAAAGCCUGAUCCAGCAAUUCCGCGUGUCUGAAGAAGGCCUUCGGGUUGUAAAGGACUUUUGUCCGGGAGCAAAUGCUGGUGGCUAACAUCCACCGGAGCUGAGAGUACCGGAAGAAUAAGCACCGGCUAACUACGUGCCAGCCGCCGCGGUAACAC
rnacentral:rRNA from 1 species